rnacentral:lncRNA from 1 species
AAACCAAACCACUACCCAAUUGAUUGAAGAAUAUUAAUGAUGUUGUUGAUUGAAGAAUAUUAAUGAUGUUGUCUACCAAUUAUAUUGUGAGGUGAACAACCAAUGUCUUAGGCCUAUAAAUAGAUACCUCCAUCAAGAGAAGUUUACACAUAUAGAAGAGGAAGAGAAGGAAGAAUGAGGGUGAGUGAGUUGAGAGGAAAGAGAGCAAGAGAGAAAUUCUCCAAAAGAGAAAAUUGAGUGAGCCAUACAUAUUGUAAACACUAAAGUUGUAGCCCUAUUAUUUUACAUAGUGGAAAAGUUACUGCUGCUGCUCUCCGGGGACGUAGGCAUAGCCGAACCUCGUUAAAUACUGUGUCUCAUCUACUUUACGUGCAGCUCAAUAUUCGCACAUAUCCCAGUUAAUUUACAACACGUUAUCAGCACGAAAAGCUCUCAGGUAUAAUUUUUGUGCUGCACCAUUAUUUAUACUACUAACCAUUGUAUAAUAUAUAUAUAUAUAUGAAAAGUUGAUGGUAAUAUAAUAUGCUAUAUCUAUUCACUUUUCUAUUACUAACCACUAACAAAAAUGGACCCUUGGUAAUACUAAACAUAUUAUCAGUGGGAGACCGUUACUAAUACUAACAUUUUUCUUAUUUUAUUCGGUGGUGGUUUUAACCCUUUAUUUAUUUUAAUUACUGUAUGGUGUAGUUUUAUUACCCAUACGACAAUAUUUAUUUAAAAGGGUGGCGCGGGUUUAUCGUCCACGCCUUUCUUUUUAUUUAAAAGUAUGAUGUGGAAUUAACCCUCAUACUUUAUGAAUUUACUUUACCGCACAUUUAAUUUUAUUUAAGAUAUGGUGCGGAAUUAACGUCCAUAUAGCAAGCAAUUUAUUUUAUCGCACAUUUACUUUUACUUAAAGUAUGAUGAGGAAUUAACCCUCAUACUUUAUGAAUUUACUUUACCGCACAUUUACUUUUAUUUAACGUAUAGUGUGGGUUUAUCGUCCAUACAAGCAAUUCAUUUACCAAUAAUUUAAUUUACAAGCAAUUUAUUUUAUGGAUUAAUUGUGUGGUAUGAUGAGUUUUUUUUUACAAAGAUACAGAUCAGGACCAGAAGUUCCUUGAUCCUCAUCAUACAAUUACAUCAGGACUUGAAGAUCUUUGAUGAUGAUGUUAAUAUGAGAGCUGACAGUCUCUCCGGUACUAUAUUUGUAAACAUGUGAUUGGACUUGAGGGUCCUUGAUCCCUGACAUGUAAAUAAGGACCUAGGGUUCCUUAAUAAUGUACCAGUACCGUAUUGGUUAAUAGUGUCAUACACAUGAAAAUAAUUGUAUUGGCAAAUGUACUGUACACAUGAAUAGUGCCGUAUACAUAAAUAGUGAUGUAUGCAUUUUGGGUAAACUAUCACUAUUCAAAAGGGAACCUGCUUAAACUCAUGGAUGAGCAAUUAAAUGAGAUGCCAGAAGUUCCUCAAGAUAUAGACAAUUAUGUAAGGGCUUGAAGUCCAGAAAUAUAUACAGAAAAUUGUAAAAAUGUCCAUACCAUGAGAAUAUGUGAUUUUGGCUUGAGGUUCAAAAUCUAACAGUGUUGAGAACCUGAAGUUCCAACAAUUAAAUGAACAACCCUUGAGGUAUUAUUGCAAAUUGUGGUACGCCACAUAUUUCUUUGGCAUAAGAGAAUGAUGAAUUGAGGCUCCCCACAUAUUUUGUUAUAUCUGGGCCGGAAGCUCAUGAACCCAAUUAUAUUGCGAUAUUAUCGUGGCUUUUACUCAAUUCAUAUUUCAUGUUCAUUAGAAAAAGGGCGAAUAAAUUCUGAGUUUUGUGUUUAGCCCAGGCCAAAAGUUCCGGACUCCCAUACGUUGAAAUAUGAAAUUUGGGAGAGUCAAUGUGGUUAUUUGAAUCUAUAAGGCACAAGGUUCCAAACCGUCAUUUUGAAAAGACGUAAAAAACCACAGGUGCAAGUUUAAGAAUGUGCGCAAUUAUUAUUACAGGAACAUACAACAGAUAAAUUUUUUCCACCUGCAAUGAAGGUGCAGGCCCUGUAAAAUCUAUAAAAAUACAUUAUGUUCUGGAAGCCUCUGAAGGAAGAGGACGAUGCCUCUUAAGCUUAGCCAUGAGCCUCUCGUGGUCUCCCAAAAUUCUUUCAUUGGAGACCUGCAGCAUGUCUAGCCUUCUCAGUGUAUCAACUGAGUACGAACUCACCAGUUUCAACAAGGCAUUAUUCUCUCCUUUAAGUUUCUCAACCUCCUGUUGAGACUCAUGAAGCAUUCUUUGAAGAGACGAAUUUUCAGUUGUUAGCCUCUCAACCUCGUUUGCUCUAGCACGCAAACGAUCAGCCAUGUUAGAAACAGAAGCAGCACUCUGAAUGCUAAAAGCCAUUGAGUCAUCAAUAGCCUCUUCCUCAGAUCUCCCUGUCAACAACAUUUCAUCCAUUGGAAUAAUGAAAUUCCUAGCUACUAUGACAGCAGUAGCAUCAUUCAUCAUCACAGAAUUAUUAACUGUGAGAUGACGAUUUUGGGAUACAAAGGAUGGACGCCAAACUUUGGCAUCAUUGGUAGUUGUGGGAGCAUAAUUUAAAUUGAAAUAAUUUGGGCAGGAAGAAGAGGAAGCCAUUUUAAGAAGGUUUCGAAGAAAGUCUUAGAAAAACUAAAGUUUCAGAAAAUGAAGGAAGUUGAGUUGAAACGCAGUUGCGCCAAUCAAGUCUUGCAAAGGCAAUAUCUAUAGGAGGAAAUAUGGCUACAGUUUUCAGGAUCCCAAUAUUAUCUCAGAUCCCCAUAUUCUCUUUUUCUUUUCCAGAUUCCAAAACUUCAAGCGGCCUCCAUUAAUGUUUGUCGGCACUUUCGGCGUUUUCAAGUAUUAUUUUCGUCAAAGCCGAUCUUGCUUUGCGGAUUUCACGGAGCUACUUUUUCAAAAGUGCCCCGAGAAUCUCGCAAUUUUCCUAUGGUUAAUUUGAAAUUCACCGGUUCUACCUAUUCCUCUUAUUUGUGUAUAAAUGUGUUACUAACGAAAUUUUCUUUGCAGAAGACAUCCAGUUUUCUCCAUACCUAGUGAUGCGAUAUCUACUUAUUUUUCUUAUCAGUGAGCACUCAAUAUGCCCGAGAAGCAAGACUAUCUCUGAUCAUCCAUUCAGGAAGCGAGACUAUCCCUGAUCACGUUUCCGCCACAUCAGGGAACUGUGAAGGCGACCUUAUGCUCUAAUCUCCGGAAGUUCUUCUAGACUAGGAGAAAUGAGAGCUUGUUGUUUGCUCCGACCAGCUUCCUUCCUUGAUUGCUGAGCUUGUUGUCUGCUCCCACCAGCUUCCUUCCCUGAUUGCUUACCUUACCUUGCAAUCAAUAUCACAUUUUUUUUGCAUUUUUUCUCUUUUUGUAACUCUCUGUUCAUAAGAGACUUUAUUUCUUUAGAAUGAACAUCUGAAGAAAGAGUCCAUGAAGUGAUCCUAACUCUGAGGGUUAUUUGUUUUGACAGAGGCAAAAGAGUUGUGAUUUUUGCUCUUGCAUGAUAUAACUAGAUCAUCAAGCGCUACAUUAUAUUUACUGGGCCGAUACGAGCUUGAAUGAUACUUGAGAAAAGUUUCUCCCACCUAAGGAUGUAAGCAAUACUUGUGUUGUUUUAUGCUUAUAUACUUAUUUGAUAUUUUAUCUUGAAAGGUAACCAAAUGGGGAGAUAAGUCCGUUCCAAAAGAAUGGCUUGUAUGUAUCCAUAAAUUAUAACGCAAAUUUUACAGAUUGUAAGUUGGAUACAUUGAUAAUACACUGCACAGAUUAAAGUCUCAUAAGAACAGAAUAUGGGUAUAGCAGUGAUCAAUAUGAUGCAAGCCUGUUGCGUAGCAAAUGAUGUGGAUUGAAGUCCCGAAAGGACAAUCCUUUGACACGUCAAUAUUGAUAUUGUGCACGCCUAAUGCGUAGCAAAUUGUACGGGUUAAAGUCCCAGAAAUUAAUUGACAUGUAUGUAUUAAUCUGUGGCAUGCCUGCAGCAUGACAGAUAUAUGGGUUCUAAAUGUUCCAACUCCUUAAAUAGAGAUUAUCCACGCCCUACUGUAAAAUAACGCUCCAUUGGAGGUUAUAAUCCACAUUCUCACAUAAUAAAAGCCCCAUGAAGUGGCUUGGGUACCCAAAAGCAAAGAAAUGCUUAUAAUUGAUGCAUGCACAUGCAAAUGAGAAUGGUGAGAUCAUGAAUUGAUGAAUGACAAUUUUUGGUUUUAGAGUAGCUACUCAAAUCAUCAAUGGGCUGUGUUAAUUGGAACCACGUUCAAUUAUUAAAUGUCGACAAUAUCAUUGGCCAAAAUGGAAUGAGGUAAUUCCAUUAUAGAUGAGAAUGAACGUGAAAGAACAAACCCACAGUACGAACCCCAAAAGAUGUUAAUAUUGAAAGUUAUACUUGGGUGUUCGGAAUAGAAGGGAAUAUACCUACUUUGUAUGACACAAUAUUUUUGGCAUAAAUAAGGAACGUUGGAUUUUCUCCAUAUUUAUAGAUUCAAUUGUGCCCCUUUAUUGCACAUUUACGGAGACCAACAUAUUAUCUUUAAGGGGUAUUAAAUGCACAGAGCAUAUUGCUAGAAGCGAUUCCCUAAAGAUGUAUAAAUAGCUGGAUUAAAGCUAUAUAAUGGGUCAUAAAGUUUAAUCCCUUUAAACAAAAUCCUUGAAAGGAUUGAAAUUGCAUGAAGCAAGUCCCUGAAGGACAUGUGCCUGAAGCACAAAAUCUGUACUCAAUACAAAUGUGCAUAAAUUGUCUCAGUGAGUACAUGGAUUAUAAUGUGUUUGCAACACAUUAAAGCUUCUGAAGAGUUCAAGAAAUAUUUGUCUCGACUUAAGGAUCGAGCAUUAUGCCAACGAGAUUCUUGCUUAUACUAAGAAAGUAUUGAAGCAUUUUUAUGAGGAUUAUCCGUUGGACACUUUAAUGAUUUUCCGGAAGUAUAUUGGACCGGACAUCAUAUUUUUCAGAUAGGGCUCAACUCCAUCACCAUCAUUUUGGGAUGAUGUGAGGUAUAUUUGAUGCUAUCUCCGCAUAACACCAUGUACGGGCAUAUUCUUUCAAGUGAACUUACAAAUAGCCCAAGUUUUGUUAGAAACGCGGACUCUGAAAAUUUCUAUGAUUUACAUAGAGAUAGCUCACUGGAAAUAUAUUUACUUACUCAACUACGAGAAUUAUUAAUGGCUAUAUCCUCCACUCACUCCGAAAGAUUCUCACUCCAAAAGAUAGUCAUGAAGACAUCAGGGGGAGAUAUUAAUCAGGGGGAGCAUCCAGAAGUAUGCUAUACAGAUUGCUGUACUCUUUUUUCUUCCUUCCAUCAGUUUUCUACCUCACUGGAUUUUUCUCCAAGCAAGAUUUUAAUGAGGCAACCAAUCUAGGGACAUGUGGUCUCCAAGGGGGAGUGUUGUAAAGAAGAAUAAGUAAAGAAGAAUAGGUGAAGCCCACAUAGCCAACUAACACCCACCAAACCUAACCACACACCCACCAAACCAAACCACUACCCAAUUGAUUGAAGAAUAUUAAUGAUGUUGUUGAUUGAAGAAUAUUAAUGAUGUUGUCUACCAAUUAUAUUGUGAGGUGAACAACCAAUGUCUUAGGCCUAUAAAUAGAUACCUCCAUCAAGAGAAGUUUAC